GGAUUGUGGCUCAGUGGUAGAGCGAUUGCCUAGCAUGUGUGAGGCACUGGAUUCGAUCCUCAGCACCA
rnacentral:tRNA from 1 species